UCGGUGUGGCCUUUCUUUUGGUCUGAUCAUCCUUUUUUGAACCCUGCUACGGAGAAGGUUAUGCACGAGUCCGUCAUCGAGGAAAGAGAAGAGGAUGCAAAAACUCUAAUUGCUUCCAGAAAGCACGAUCUGCAUCUCUCAUUCAACUUUCUCUCUAAAAAAAAACCCAAAAAUGGCUUUGGAGCACUGAAGACGAAUUGAAGUACGAGUCCCCCGAUUUCAAGAAGCCUGAGUCUGAUUUAUGAAUCGCAAGCAGGAUCUAAGAUUUUUGGUUUAUGAAGAGCAGCUGCAGGCGAAGUAUGAGGGGCAGGAGGUACUUUCCUUUUUUGUUUGUUUUUUUUUAAUGUUCUAAUUUUUAUGCAAUAUAUGAAAAGAUUGUAUGAAUCUCAUGUAUGAUUAUUACCAAAUGUCUAUAUCUUUUGUUGAAUAAUAUUGGUGAUUAGGGUUUCAUGCCUUUUACCAUCACAGCUGCUGAAGAACUUGGACUCCCUAUCGCAGUAUUGUUUACUAGACCUUGAAAUAAAUGAACGACCAUGACUUUGCCUUCCCUCUCGCAGCUUUGUGCGCUGGCUUCCUCCAUUGACCUCUAUACCGACAUCUCUCUUUGUUCGAAUGUUAGAUGAGGAGUACAUCACUGACGGCAUGUUGCAAUUAAGGAUAUGAUGAUACUAUGAAUCACAGAUAUGAUGAGAUCAAAAGCACUAUGGAUUCGAAUUGGAUUGGGUGCUUGGUGUUGUACUCUCCAUGGAUAUUUUGGAGGCGUUGUGUGAUUUACAGCGUCUAGGCCGGCCUGGCUCACGGAGAUCUCCGUUGAUGAGGAGCUUAUUUGUUGGAGAUUUGAGGAGGAAAACUUAGCACCGUGGCACCACUAGAAGUGGUAAUUGCUAAUCAGGGAAUUGUUGCUACACUUAUUGUACUUCAAAGAGCAGUAAACCGGAUCAUAAAACAAUUUGCAGGGAUAGAGUGAGCGAAUCACAGUUCGACUAAGUCUUGAAUGAUGAAUUGAGCCAGAUCAUUGAGGUCUCUUUGUCAAGUUAUAUUUUCAUUCUAAUUUUUUUUGCAUUUGUAAUCCUUAGUUGUUGACUCAAACAUUGCUUAUAAAGUGAAUGAAUUUGCAUAAUCUUAAAUAUAAUUUUCAAUCCCAAAGCA
rnacentral:sRNA from 1 species